rnacentral:rRNA from 1 species
UUCCGGUUGAUCCCGCCGGACCUGACUGCUAUCGGAUUGAUACUAAGCCAUGCGAGUCAUUGUAGUAAUACAAGGCAGACGGCUCAGUAACGCGUAGUCAACCUAACCUAUGGACGGGAAUAACCUCGGGAAACUGAGUAUAAUGCCCGAUAGAACAUUAUGCCUGGAAUGGUUUAUGUUCCAAAUGAUUUAUCGCCGUAGGAUGGGACUGCGGCCUAUCAGUUUGUUGGUGAGGUAAUGGCCCACCAAGACUAUUACAGGUACGGGCUCUGAGAGGAGUAGCCCGGAGAUGGGUACUGAGACACGGACCCAGGCCCUAUGGGGCGCAGCAGGCGAGAAAACUUUGCAAUGUGCGAAAGCACGACAAGGUUAAUCCGAGUGGUUUCUGCUAAAGGAACCUUUUGUCAGUCCUAGAAACACUGAUGAAUAAGGGGUGGGCAAGUUCUGGUGUCAGCCGCCGCGGUAAAACCAGCACCUCAAGUGGUCAGGAUGAUUAUUGGGCCUAAAGCAUCCGUAGCCGGCUCUAUAAGUUUUCGGUUAAAUCUGUACGCUUAACGUACAGGCUGCCGGGAAUACUGUAGAGCUAGGGAGUGGGAGAGGUAGACGGUACUCGGUAGGAAGGGGUAAAAUCCUUUGAUCUAUUGAUGACCACCUGUGGCGAAGGCGGUCUACCAGAACACGUCCGACGGUGAGGGAUGAAAGCUGGGGGAGCAAACCGGAUUAGAUACCCGGGUAGUCCCAGCUGUAAACCAUGCAAACUCAGUGAUGCAUUGGCUUGUGGCCAAUGCAGUGCUGCAGGGAAGCCGUUAAGUUUGCCGCCUGGGAAGUACGUACGCAAGUAUGAAACUUAAAGGAAUUGGCGGGGGAGCACCACAAGGGGUGAAGCCUGCGGUUCAAUUGGAGUCAACGCCGGAA